ensembl:lncRNA
CAGGGUGGCAGGGAGGCGUUAGCUGAAGGGGCCAUCGAGCUCACGGGCCCUGCCGCGACCACGCCCCAGAGCCGAGGGGGCGGCUCUGAAAAGCCUCCCGAACCUGGCGUUUCCACCUUCAGGGUGGAGGGAGCGUUUUUGCCCAAGGAGUCAUAGAGCUCACGGGACUCGGGCGGCUGCCUUCCCCAGCCCAACGCAGCUGCGUGAUCAGGCGAUGGGGUGUGGCCGGUGAGGCCCAGCGUCCGGGGGCGAUUGGGACCUCGCAGGGCCCCAGUUGAGCGGCAUGAUGCGCCGGUCCGGGGUAUCGCGCGGCCCGGUCGGGGCUCCGAGGGAUCCCGGUCGCGUCCAGUCGCACGGACCUCAUCGCGCCGUCCCUGUCAAGCGGUGGCGUAGGUGUGAGGCGAACACAGUACCUGAGACUGCAGCUCCCNGCACAUUUCAGGUUGCCCACUUGCCUCCUUCACGGUGGCAGGGCUNUNGCCAGCUGAAGGGGCCAUCGAGCUGACCGGGCCCUGGUUGCGCCUCGAACCCUAACUGAGAAGCAGGACCUCCUGGGAGGCCUCUGGAACUGCAGGACGCCCCUUCAGGGGGCCGGAAGGCUUAUUUGCUCACGGGCCGUACCGAUGCGUGGGCCCUGGCUGCAACCGAACCACCUAGCUCACACCAGGCGAGGAACACCACUCACGCCCUCAGGCGUCGUGGGAGCAGCAAGAAGAGAAGACCUCCAUCUCUCCCGGAAGAGGAUCGUCUGCAAGAAGAGAAGACUUCCAUCUCUCCCGGAAGAGGAUCGUCUCUGCAAGAAGAGAAGACCUCCAUCUCUCCCGGAAGAGGAUCGUCUCUGCAAGAAGAGAAGACUCCCGUCCCUCCAGGAAGGCGUUGGGACCGGCCAGGUUACGUCUCGGGAGUCUAAAUCCAGCCAAGAAGGAAAGCAUCUCUAAGAUUCCCUGCACAUGUGUCACCUCUUUCCACUCUUGCCAUUUUUGUGCAUGCUCUAUAUGAACUAAAUUCUUUUGAUGCAUCUCCAUUCCUGCUGGGUGUUUUAGUUGUGCACCCAUGCUGUAGCUAAAGUAAGGGUUCCCAGAACCACUGAUGGUGUCUCCACAUCGCGAGAGGACAUUGAGGGAUACAGACAAUCCAGCCCUGUCACUGGACAAUCUGCAGUUCUGAUACGGAUCUUGUGUUCUUUAUCGCGUCUGGCGUGCCUUUGCACAAGCGAAGCACUUGCAGAAAAAUGACCCGGAUGUCGGAAGAGCCUGUCCACUUCCCUUUGCAUUUUUUCGCGCUCUUCCUGCAUUUGGAGGUCUGCAAGGGCAGCGAUUGGGUGGAGAAGCUGCAGACAAGGUAAGAGCCAGGAUUUGUUGACGAAUUACGGAAAAUCCGGUGUCAUAGUUUGAUUUUCUGUAAUACCGAUAUUUCGGGUUUUUCCCUGUCCGCCCAGGAACACGCUUAAAUUAUCAUGGAAGUUUGUUGUGAUCCCAGUAUAGUUCCUGGAUGAUUGUGGUUUUUCCACUAUGUUUGGAGGCAUUCUAAAAAAAGAGUCUUGGCACCUUUAUGGUAGCCUGAUAGUUACUCCUCCUGAGCCAUAGAGAUUACUGGGCUUAGGCUGCAAGCAGAGAAAAUAAUUGAAAUGAAUCUCUUAUACACUUAAGAAUCUACAAUUUGCACCUUUAUUGUGCCAGGAAUUUUACUUGCUGAAUAGAGCUUACUAGCUAUGCAGCUGUGCAAAAUAACUGAGAUGCAUCUUCUAAAACAAUUAUGAAUUUGCUGUUCCCUCCUUUGUGGUCCUGGAAAUUUUAAUUGCUUAAUGGGCCAUAGAGAUUACUGGGAGCUCAGGCAGCAGCUAUGGAAAAUAGAAGUCUGAUGCAUCUCCUAGAACACCUAAGAAUCUGAUCUUUCCCCUUUAUGGGGCCACAAAUUUUAUUUGCUUAAUAGGCCAUA